CUCUUNUCGUNAUGGGGNCUGCGGAAGGAUCAUUAAAGAAAUUUAAUAAUUUUGAAAAUGGAUUUUUUUGUUUUGGCAAGAGCAUGAGAGCUUUUACUGGGCAAGAAGACAAGAGAUGGAGAGUCCAGCCGGGCCUGCGCUUAAGUGCGCGGUCUUGCUAGGCUUGUAAGUUUCUUUCUUGCUAUUCCAAACGGUGAGAGAUUUCUGUGCUUUUGUUAUAGGACAAUUAAAACCGUUUCAAUACAACACACUGUGGAGUUUUCAUAUCUUUGCAACUUUUUCUUUGGGCAUUCGAGCAAUCGGGGCCCAGAGGUAACAAACACAAACAAUUUUAUUUAUUCAUUAAAUUUUUGUCAAAAACAAGAAUUUUCGUAACUGGAAAUUUUAGAAUAUUAAAAACUUUCAACAACGGAUCUCUUGGUUCUCGCAUCGAUGAAGAACGCAGCGAAAUGCGAUACGUAAUGUGAAUUGCAGAAUUCCGUGAAUCAUCGAAUCUUUGAACGCACAUUGCGCCCCUUGGUAUUCCAGGGGGCAUGCCUGUUUGAGCGUCAUUUCCUUCUCAAACAUUCUGUUUGGUAGUGAGUGAUACUCUUUGGAGUUAACUUGAAAUUGCUGGCCUUUUCAUUGGAUGUUUUUUUUCCAAAGAGAGGUUUCUCUGCGUGCUUGAGGUAUAAUGCAAGUACGGUCGUUUUAGGUUUUACCAACUGCGGCUAAUCUUUUUUAUACUGAGCGUAUUGGAACGUUAUCGAUAAGAAGAGAGCGUCUAGGCGAACAAUGUUCUUAAAGUUUGACCUCAAAUCAGGUAGGAGUACCCGCUGAACUUAAACAUAUCAUAAAGCGCGAGAGAGG
rnacentral:rRNA from 1 species